AGUACAGAUUCCGUGCUUUCGAAAAUACGGAGGUAUCCGUGCUUAUAAAUUAUUUUCGAUUAUAGGACAUCCAAUUCGACGAUCGGCUUCGUUAGGCAUAAUUUACGCUAUUGGAACUAUCUAGAAAUCAAAUUUUACAAUUUUUCGACAUCAUUUACCAAGCGAUUACGGGGUCUCAAAAAUGACUAUUUUAACGGCUGAUAUGGCACGUUUUUAAAUUCAACGGUGUAGAAGUUUCCAAAUUAUAUAAAACUUUAAUAGAAAAUUCUACUUAACAUUAAGAAUAAGAACAAUACUUCCGAUUUGAAAAUUGAGUUUUUUAUCACUAUUUUUUAUGAGAUUUUUAUUUUUAGCCGUUCAUUUUGAGGCUACUCGUUCGUUCACUAGGCAAACAAAGUCAAAAAAUUAUGAAAUUUGGUUUCUAGAUAGUUUCAAUAGCGUAGAUCAUAUUUAACGGAACCGAUCGCCGAAUUAGAAGGCCCAUCAUCGAAAACAACUUACAAACACAGAAACCUCAAUACUUUCGAAAGUAUAGGAGUCUAGCUCCUAAAGUUACUAUCUACAUAUUUUAAUAGGUGAAAGAGUAGUAUUAAGUUAAUAAGAAUUUU
rnacentral:lncRNA from 1 species